ensembl:lncRNA
AUGCUCCCUCGUGUCCAGAGGUCGACGUCCCCUCCAGUCCAGAGGUUGACGUUCCCUCCAGUCCAGAGGUCUACGCUCCCUCCAGUCCAGAGGUCGACGUUCCCUCCAGUCCAGAGGUCGACGUUCCCUCCAGUCCAACGUCUCCGCCGUCUCCAGUCCAGUGGUCAACGGCAUCUCCAGUCCAGUGGUCAACGCGGUCUCCAGUCCCGUGGUCGACGCCUUCUCCAGUCCCGUGGUCGACGCCGCCGCCUCCAGCCCAGAGGCCAAGGAUGCUGCCUCCAGCCUAGAAGCCGAAGACGUCGCCUCCAGCCCAGAGGCCGCCGACGCCGCCUCCAGCCCAGAGUUCGACGACGCUGCCUCCAGUCCAAUGGUCGUCGCCACCGCCUCCAGUCCCGUGGUCGACGCCGUCUCCAGUCCCGUGGUCGACGCCAUCUCCAGUCCCGUGGUCGACGUCUUCUUCAGUCCCGUGGUCAACUCUGUCUCCAGCCCAGAGGCCGAGGACGCCGCCUCCAGCCCAGAGGCCAACAAUGCCGCCUCCAGCCCAGAGGUCGACGAUGCUGCCUCCAGCCCAGAGGCCGAAGCCGCCGCCUCCAUCCCAGAGGCCAACGACGCCGCCUCCAGUCCCGUGGUCGCCUCCAGUCCCGUGGUCGACGCCGUCUCCAGUCCCGUGGUCGACACCUUCUCCAGUCCUGUGGUCGAUGCCGUCUCCAGCCCAGAGGCCGAGGAUGCCGCCUCCAGCCCAGAGGCCGACGACGGCGCCUCCAGCCCAGAGGUCGACGACGCCGCCUCCAGCCCAGAGGCCGACGACGCCGCCUCCAGCCCAGAGGUCGACGCCGCCGCCUCCAGUCCAGAGGUUGUCGCCACCGCCUCCAGUCCCGUGGUCGACGCAGUCUCCAGUCUCGUGGUCAACUCCGUCUCCAGUCCCGUGGUAAACGCCUUCUCCAGUCCCGUGGUCGACGCCGUCUCCAGCCCAGAGGCCGACGCCUCCAGCCCAGGGGCCGACGAUGUCGCCUCCAGCCCAGAGGCCGACGACGUCGCCUCCAGCCCAGAGGCCGACGCCGACGACUCCAGCCCAGAGGUCGACGCCGACGCCUCCAGCCCAGAGGUCGACGCCGCCGCCUCCAGUCCAGAGGUCGUCGCCGCCGCCUCCAGUCCAGAAGCAGACAACGCCGCCUCCAGCCCAGAGGUUGUCGCCGCCGCCUCCAGUCCAGAAGCCAAGGACGUCUCCUCCGGCGUCUCUGCCUCCGGUCACCGCCGGUCCUGCCCUCAUCAGGCGCGGGCCCCCAAGAGCCGUCGGCGUCCCCUCCUCUGCCACAGACGCAGGCCCCCAAGAGCCCAUCCUCGUCUCCUCCUCUGCCCCAGACGCAGGCCCCCAAGAGCUCGUCGUUUUUCCUCCUCUGCCCCAGACGCAGGUCCCCGGACUUUACUGGUUCCUGCCUCCUCUCCACCGGUCCCUCGGUUCCUCUUGGCCCUCCUUUCUGGUCCCCCUCCUCCCGCCCUGCUCUGUGUUCCUGUGUGCUCUGUGUUCCUGUGUGCCUCUCAUUUUCCAAUCACCCAAGCUCCCAGCUCUCAUGUAUUUAA